CCUCGAUGACGUCACGAACAACACGCGAUUCGAUUGGAUGUCGCUCUGAGUAUAUAACCGGAGGGCGGGCGUGCAGAUGAUCUUUUCCGUUGUUGUCUGCGGUGGGUUCGCUUGUUAAGUGUUGUAUUGCGUGUGAUCCUCCACCGGCAUAAUGAGCGGAUUCGAAGCUAUGGACCAGUUCUCCGAGGGCUCUAAAAUCAACGCCAGCAAGAAUCAGCAGGAUGAGGGAAAGAUGUUCAUCGGAGGCUUGAGCUGGGAUACAAGCAAGAAGGAUCUGACGGAAUACCUCUCCCGGUUCGGAGAAGUUGUGGACUGCACCAUCAAGACUGACCCAGUUACUGGCCGAUCAAGGGGGUUUGGGUUUGUCCUCUUCAAGGAUGCAGUCAGCGUAGAUAAGGUGCUGGAGACAAAGGAACACAAGCUGGAUGGCAAACUCAUUGAUCCUAAGAGAGCAAAGGCAUUAAAGGGAAAGGAACCCCCAAAGAAAGUGUUUGUUGGUGGCCUGAGCCCAGACACAACAGAGGAACAGAUCAAAGAAUACUUUGGAGCAUUUGGAGAUAUUGAAAACAUUGAACUCCCAAUGGACACAAAAACAAAUGAGAGGAGAGGGUUUUGCUUCAUUACAUACACAGAUGAAGAGCCAGUGCAGAAACUUUUGGAGAGCAGAUACCACCAGAUUGGUUCAGGGAAGUGUGAGAUCAAAGUUGCCCAACCAAAAGAACUCUACAAACAGCAGCAGCAACAGAAAGGCAGCAGAGGAGCAUCGAAUGGACGAGGAGGUGGACGAGGGAGAGGCAGGGGAGGCCAAGGACAGAGUUGGAACCAAGGAUACAAUAACUACUAUGAUCAAGGAUAUGGAAACUACAGUGGCACUAGCAGCAACUCCUACAGUGACCCUGCCUACACUAGCUAUGGUGGAUAUGACUAUCCUUCGUACAACUAUGGAAGUUAUAGUGGCUACAGCAACCAAAGUUACACAGACUAUAGCGGUCAACAAAGCACAUAUGGAAAGGCAUCAAGAGGUGGAGGAAACCAUCAGAACAACUACCAGCCUUACUGAGGGCUGUGAUCAUCACACAAGCGGGAACUUCAUUGCAGGCCGUGUGUCACCCUGACCACGUCUAUCUCUGGGGUCGCACGUUGUGGGCAGAGCGCAAGGCGUACACCAGAAACCGCUGUCCUGUGGUGGAGAGGACUGACUACGUAAGUCAUCCAGGCAGAAGUUUAAUCUACAAAUGCUUGAGGACUUGUGUAACAAGGCACAUUGGUGUCUUGCUGUAAAUAGUACCUACCCCCUUCCCCGUUUUAUUUUCUCAUCUGUGUACAGUGGUUUUAUGUUCAUCCAAUUUUAUGUUGAUCUGUAAUGAGACCUUGUGACUUUCACUGCAUUACAUGUCCAGUGUUUGACAUUUGUAAUAAAA